GAGUUGUAGACCUCUCUCUCUCACUACUGAUCUCUCUGUUCCUUCCAGGGGAGUUGAAGCUCUCUCUCUACUAAUCUCUAUGUUCCUUCCAGGGGAGUUGUAGACCUCUCUCUCUCACUACUGAUCUCUAUGUUCCUUCCAGGGGAGUUGUAGACCUCUCUCUCUCACUACUGAUCUCUCUGUUCCUUCCAGGGGAGUUGUAGUGAGAGGUUAGGCCCGUCAUACGAUUCAUGGACAGACAGACAGACAGACAGACAGACAGACAGACAGACAGACAGACAGACAGACACACAGACAGACAGACAGACAGACAGACAGACAGACAGACAGACAGACAGACAGACAGACAGACAGACAGACAGACAGACAGACAGACAGACAGACAGACAGACAGUAGGAGAGGAAUAAGGAGAGAGAGAAAGAGAGGAGGAAUCAGGAGAGAGAGAGAGAGAGAGGAGGAGAAGUAAUCAGGAGAUAGAGAGAUAGAAAGGAGGAGGAAUCAAGAGAGAGAGAUAGAGAGGAGGAGGAAUCAGGAGAGAGAGAUAGAGAGGAGGAGGAAUCAGGAGAGAGAGAGAUAGAGAGGAGGAGGAAUCAGGAGAGAGAGAGAUAGAGAGGAGGAGGAAUCAGGAGAGAGAUAGAGAGGAGGAGGAAUCAGGAGAGAGAGAGAUAGAGUGGAGGAGGAAUCAGGAGAGAGAUAGAGAUGAGGUGGAAUCAGGAGAGAGAGAGAUAAAGAGGGGGAGGAAUCAGGAGAGAGAGAGAGGAGGAGGAAUCAGGAGAGAGAGAGAUAGAGAGGAGGAGGAAUCAGGAGAGAGAUAGAGAGGAGGAGGAAUCAGGAGAGAGAGAGAGAGGAGGAGGAAUCAGGAGAGAGAUAGAGAGGAGGAGGAAUCAGGAGAGAGAGAUAGAGAGGAGGAGGAAUCAGGAGAGAGAGAGAUAGAGAGGAGGAGGAAUCAGGAGAGAGAUAGAGAGGAGGAGGAAUCAGGAGAGAGAUAGAGAGGAGGAGGAAUCAGGAGAGAGAUAGAGAGGAGGAGGAAUCAGGAGAGAGAUAGAGAGGAGGAGGAAUCAGGAGAGAGAUAGAGAGGAGGAGUAAUCAGGAGAGAGAGGUAGAGAGAAGGAGGAAUCAGGAGAGAGAGAGAUAGAGAGGAGGAGGAAUCAGGAGAGAGAGAGAUAGAGAGGAGGAGGAAUCAGGAGAGAGAUAGAGAGGAGGAGGAAUCAGGAGAGAGAUAGAGAGGAGGAGGAAUCAGGAGAGAGAUAGAGAGGAGGAGGAACCAGGAGAGAGAUAGAGAGGAGGAGGAAUCAGGAGAGAGAUAGAGAGGAGGAGGAAUCAGGAGAGAGAGAUAGAGAGGAGGAGGAACCAGGAGAGAGAGAGAGAGGAGGAGGAAUCAGGAGAGAGAGAUAGAGAGGAGGAGGAAUCAGGAGAGAGAGAGAUAGAGAGGAGGAGGAAUCAGGAGAGAGAUAGAGAGGAGGAGGAAUCAGGAGAGAGAGAGAUAGAGUGGAGGAGGAAUCAGGAGAGAGAGAGAGAGAUGAGGGGGAAUUAGGAGAGAGAGAGAGAUAGGAUGUGGACAGUUGGAAGGGAGGAGGGGGGCUUGGAUCUGGAAUUGGCUUCUCCUUCCCCCUCCUCCUCACUCCUCCCUCCUCCUCCCCUCUGUUCCCCCUAUUAGUCUGUCUAGCUAGUCUACAGCUCUGUGACUUGAUAAACAGAAGGACAGACAGACAGACAGGGAGACAGACAGGGAGACAGACAAGACAGGGAGGUAGCCGUAGUGUAGCCCAACCCAGGGGGAGAGAAGAAGAGGGGGAAGGAGAGGAGAGGAGAGGAGAGGA